AUUGCCAAUACUGGUUCCUGUUGGUAAAGUUGGUCACCUUGAUAGAUCUCGUUUGUUCGUCUCCUCCCAUCUCAUAUACAUCCACAAAGCUCUACCAGCACCACCAUCUCUACUGCUCCAUUCAAGUUGCUUGACCGGUGGAGGAGAUAAUGUUGGUGUCUGCGGAGGAGGUGUUGGACGUCAGAGGUUCGCUUCUCCACGUAACCGAAACUGAAGCCAUCUUAUUGCAGUUGCUGCGACAAUUAUCUCUACAUCAGCAUAAUAAAGCAGAUUGCCGACCGGCAUCAGAGACUGAACUGCGCCUUAAACACAUUCUGCUAGAAGCUUCCGGACAAGUUCAACUGCACAGAGACGUAGCCCACACACGAUGGAGCGUUAGCCAACUGGCUCGAGUGUUGGCCGGCGCCAGCGGUGGAUUCGCAAUCGGCGCUCGGACGCUGCUGCAAAAUUUCGCCGAUCCGUCCGUCCGUUCCGUUCCAGUGGAUCGUGCCAUUCAAAUUCUCAAGUUAAGAAUUCAGCCGGCCAUUGCAGCCCGUUACGUUGCGGCUUUGUAUGGUGAAGUGCUGGCCAGAGAGUCCGCCAAGCUGACGGCCAAGGGCAGGGUCGGUCAUAGUCGUGGAGAAGAUUGUUCGUCAACGGAAGACUCGGCCAUUUCUUCUGACCAUUUAUCACGGCAUCCGUCUACCGACAGUCUCAAUCGUUUCACCAGCAUGGCCAACCAAUCGGAUACUACCGGACAUAGUACGCCGCCAGAGCAUUAUGGAGUCUUUCGGAGAAGGCGGCCUAUCCGCUUGGCUCGAGCUCGGAGCAGCGUUGGAGACGGCGGACCUACUGGAGCGCUCAAGAAUUUAGCCUGGGCAGCUAAUGCAGCUAUUCAGCGGGCCCCGUCUCGCCUCUAUCGACUCCAUGACCAGCCAUCCUCGACUCCUUCCUUGUCGUCGUCGGCGGCGGCGGCAGCGUUUCAUCCGCGCAAGAGUCAGUCAUUCCGCGAUCUGAAGGUGUCCAUCGAGCGAGAAGAUGAGCCGGCCAUCUGUCCCGUUACUUGCUGCGGUCCGGAAUUCAUCGUCAAGAGUAGCUUACCUCCCUACGUGGUCAUUUUACCACAUCAACCGAAAAAGAAAAAAUCUGUGAACAUUUUGCACUUGGAUGGGCGUCGUUUACACGUCGAGUGUGACCCGGGCAAAACAAGAAUUAAUCAACUCAUGCAGAUGGUGAUGGAUCACUUUGGAAUCGCGGCCAGUGACGCCAUAUUUUUCGGAUUGUCUUGUAUCAAAGGCGGCCAUUUCGUAUUUCCUAGACUUGACGAAAAAGUCAGCUGUUUGGCCCCCGACAACUAUAAACAAUUGCCCUAUCCCAGCUUCAACGUUUACUUCCGAUUCCGGUUUUAUGUUCACUCUGUUUUCACUUUGCACAGUUUGGAAAGCGAACAUCUACUCUAUCUCCAAUUAAGAAAAGACUUGCUGGAACAACGCUGGGUUAUGGAUCCAAUGGAGGAAAUGGGACUGGCCGCCCUGGCCCUGACGAUAGAAUUCGGAACUUAUAACCCAAAGAUUCACGGAGUGGGUGGGUCGUACUUCCACGUCGAUCAUUACCUGAGUGCUGGAACGCAACAGAGUGUCAAAGGCGGCGAACUAGCUGCCCAGGCCCUACAGCGUCUGCACGGUCGCAUUCCGACGCUGGUGGAAAGACGCGUAGUCGAAUGCAAUUUCGUCAAACGGAUCAUGCAAACUCAAUCCUAUGGAUAUCAUCACGUACACGUUAUCGAGGACGACGGAUUGAGGACGACUCCGCUCAAUUUGCUGGUGGGACUUGAAGGACUCAAAUUGGUCCCUCACGCCACCUCGACUUCGUUUGGCACUUCCCUCAAACACGUCAGCUUGUACUGGGAAGACAUCAAGAGUCUCACUCACUCUAAACACCACAUCGUGCUGACGUCCGGAAUAGGAAAUUCCAUCCGCAAGCGGCGACUUUGCGUUGGAACCUCGCGGAUUCGAAACACGUUCGAUUUGUUGAUUUCCCACCAAAAGAUGGCGCUGGAACUGAAAAAGCGCAAACUGCUAAUACGAUCCGAGUCUGCCACUUUGCCGAAACUGCGUCACAAUAGACCGGCGAGUUUUAUCGAACCGGUCAAGACUCCCGUGGAGCCCGUCAAAUCAUUGUCCAGCGCCACCCUGCCACGUCCGUCCAACGCUGUCAGAAUCUACGUGCCUUUCGGAGGUGUCCAGAAGCGACCCGACACGAAUGAUAUUACAACUCGGGUGAUUGACGUCAAAUCUAAUAUUCCUAUGCCGGAACUUGUUCCAGUGACGUCAGCAGAAUCCUCCCAAUACUCUACGCUGAGUUCCCUCUCCGAAUCCACCGUUCCUACUAGCCCUCGUAAAAGCACUCUGGUCCGAAUGGGAACGAAAAUAUCGUCCGACGCUCUCAUUCGCGAGAAAAUGCGUCUCCAAGAAGUCAGCUUCAGCGAACGCGUCGUAUCUGGAGAUCCUUCCGGCGCCUACGUCGUCGAUACCAGCGUCAAAUCGGAGGAUGAAUCGCUGGUUUUCGACGCCCAGGAGAGCAUGUCGCAGUCGUUGACGGAACGGUUCAACCGCCUACCACGUCUUCCAUCACCAACUCGACAACACGGAGUCACCGUCAGAUUUUCCAAAGAUCCUGAUGGUUCGCUGGGCAUUUUGAUUGCUCGCGGCGUACGUGGCGGUAUCUACCUGAUGGGACUGACGCCCAAUGGCGCUGCUCAUCGGCAGACCUCACUCAAACCAGGUAAGCGCGAAAUUAUGAGCCUCUAUUUGGACUAAUCUGUUAAAAGGGAACAAAGGAGCAGAUGGUGAUCUUGUGAUGGGUUAUUAUCACGUGGGUGAUUGACAGCUUUCCACUUUCUCUCUCCUCUUUUGCGGCCUUCCAGUUAUCGAGGUCAUCAAAGUUUUUAUUUUUUCUUCCCCCUGUCUUGUCUUUUAUAAUCUUGUGCCAAAGAGAAAGAUCGUAUUGUCGAAACGAAGAGGGAACUCGGAAAAUCUUGAAAUUGUUUAUACUCGUUGAAUGCGAUCGCGUCCGCUUUGGAGAUGAGUCUACGCUACACGACGGGGAUUAUCCAGACUUUUAAAAAGAGGGGAAAAAAAGAUGCGACCUUGCUUUCACCAACAAAACUCACUUGUUUGUUAGCAAAAAAAUUGAGAAAAGAACCUCUCACCUGCGUUCCGUCUGUCCGCUAUAUAAAGACGAACUCAUUCGUUAGGUUAGUCAGAUCUCUUCUUGCUUCCGACCAAAGUGCAAGUUCAGAUUUUCAGUUUGCUUCGAGAGAGAAAAAGAAAUGGUUUCUUUAAAGGUUAUUGUAGUGCUGCUGGCCGUGCUGUGCGGAGCUCUGGCUCUGCCGGCUGGCACUUUGCCGCGCGUUUCCAAGGAACGAGCCGUCGUUGCUAAGGAGGAACCGAUCGAACUAGCCAGGGAUUACGCUUUCAACUACGACAUUCAAGAUGGUUUCGUCGGCAUGACUCAUUCACGCAGUGAGGUUCAGCGCAACGGAAUUGUCAGGGGCUUCUAUCGCUACAGCCGGCCCGACGGCGUUCUUGUUACUGUCACUUACACAGCUGACGAAACGGGCUUCCAUCCCGUCAUCACCGAAGAAGCGGCUCCCAAUUUGUUCUCGCCCAGCGCUGUUCAAACCAUGUACUCGUCGGACAAUCCUGAGCAGAUCAAAAUCACUCUCACCGAGGACGAUGUCGAUUUGACUCGUCAAAAAGCCGAAGCUGCCAAAGUGGCCGGCACUAAAUUGAGAACUCGAGUCCAAUCGAGAUCUGAGACUAAUUCGCAAUUAAUCGAUGAGAAAAAUUCCCGUUUUUCUAGAAUGCUUAUUCCUGUGAAAAUCCCCGCUGUCAACUCGCAAACGCGUUUUAAUUAUUACGAACAAGUCUAGUUGGCCGCCGCAAGAUGGCAGCGCAUACUCAUUUUCGUCAACAUUUUCUCGUCCAGCCCUUUUGUCCUUUACCUCCUCCUACCUAUCUAUUCUCCAAUCAAUUUUUGCAAAAUCUCCUCAACGAAAUAAACGACGAGAAAGAAAAAAGAAAAGUAGCAUGAAUAAUUUGUUUUCUCCAUUUGGAACCGAUGGGCGUUGUUCCAUUUCGUUUUCCUUUUAGCUGUGUGAGGCUCUGGAACAAACGAGAUGGAAAUAGAAUUCGGGGAAGGUUUUGAUAGGAUUUGAUAGUCGACAUUUUCCUUCACUUGUACUUUUUAUGUAGCGCACCCUGGAAAAUUCUUGAAAGCGUUCCAUGAACAAUGGAAUUAACUUGACGGUUGAAGGUGGGGGCUACGACCGCUGCAAUGUUUCUUUCUAAAAUAAAUCGGUCGUGCAAUGCGCGCCCAAUAUGUUAA